AUUGAACGCUAGCGGCAGGCUUAACACAUGCAAGUCGAACGAGUGGCGGACGGGUGAGUAAUGUAUGGGAACGUGCCCAGUAGCGGGGGAUAACUACUGGAAACGGUGGCUAAUACCGCAUACCAUAGGAUAGGCCGAAAGAGGAUUAGCUAGUAGGUGGGGUAAAGGCUCACCAAGGCAACGAUCCGUAGCUGGUCUGCGAGGACGACCAGCCACACUGGAACUGAGACACGGCCCAGACUCCUACGGGAGGCAGCAGUGGGGAAUUUUGGACAAUGGGUGAAAGCCUGAUCCAGCCAUCCCGCGUGUAUGAUGAAGGCCUUCGGGUUGUAAAGUACUUUUAGCGGGGAAGCGGUAUCUGCAGAAUAAGCACCGGCUAACUCCGUGCCAGCAGCCGCGGUAAUAC
rnacentral:rRNA from 1 species